CCUACGGGCGGCAGCAGUGAGGAAUAUUGGUCAAUGGACGAGAGUCUGAACCAGCCAAGUAGCGUGAAGGAUGACUGCCCUAUGGGUUGUAAACUUCUUUUAUAUGGGAAUAAAAUGUUCCACGUGUGGGAUUUUGUAUGUACCAUAUGAAUAAGGAUCGGCUAACUCCGUGCCAGCAGCCGCGGUAAUACGGAGGAUCCGAGCGUUAUCCGGAUUUAUUGGGUUUAAAGGGUGCGUAGGUUGAUUGUUAAGUCAGUUGUGAAAGUUUGCGGCUCAACCGUAAAAUUGCAGUUGAAACUGGCAGUCUUGAGUACGGUAGAGGUGGGCGGAAUUCGUGGUGUAGCGGUGAAAUGCUUAGAUAUCACGAAGAACUCCGAUUGCGAAGGCAGUUCACUGGACUGCAACUGACACUGAGGCGCGAAAGUGUGGGUAUCAAACAGGAUUAGAUACCCCUGUAGUC
rnacentral:rRNA from 1 species